UACAGAGGGUGCGAGCGUUGUCCGGAAUUAUUGGGCGUAAAGAGCUCGUAGGCGGUGUGUCACGUCGGCCGUGAAAACCUGCAGCUUAACUGUGGGCGUGCGGUCGAUACGGGCAUCACUGGAGUUCGGCAGGGGAGACUGGAAUUCCUGGUGUAGCGGUGAAAUGCGCAGAUAUCAGGAGGAACACCGGUGGCGAAGGCGGCAUCCUGGACCGGCAUUGACGCUGAGGCGCGAAAGCCAGGGGAGCAAACGGG
rnacentral:rRNA from 1 species